rnacentral:rRNA from 1 species
UACGUAGGGGGCAAGCGUUGUCCGGAUUUAUUGGGCGUAAAAGGCUUGUAGGUGGCCACGCCAAGUCGGAUGUGAAAUCUCCCGGCUCAACUGGGAGGGGUCAUUCGAUACUGGCGGGCUCGAGGCCGGUAGGGGGAAGUGGAAUUCCCGGUGUAGUGGUGGAAUGCGUAGAUAUCGGGAGGAACACCAGUGGCGAAGGCGGCUUCCUGGACCGGUAUUGACGCUGAGGUGCGAAAGCGUGGGGAGCAAACAGG